rfam:Triticum aestivum genome assembly, contig: Triticum_aestivum_CS42_TGACv1_scaffold_129641_2BL
UACGUACUCCCUUCAUCCGGAAAUACUUGUCAUCAAAAUAAAUUAAAAAGGAUGUAUCUAGAUUUUAGUUCUAGAUAUAUUCUUUUUUAUUCAUUUUGAUGACAAGUAUUUUCGGACAGAAGGAGUACGUC